UUAAAAAGGUUGUGUGGAUUUCCUUUAUUGUUGAAGAAGAGAGGAGGGAUGUGCACAACAGGAAUAAUGCGUUACAGUUCGAAACAAACCUGCAGUAAAAGUGACAUGAGAAUAAACGUGAUUCUUCAAUGUGCAGAAAUCCGGCGUUAGGAGGAUCAUCUCUUGGCAUUCACCGCGUGCCUUAAUUGUAAGACAUUAAAUCAAGGUCCGCUGUGAACACGGAGAGACACAACCCGCUCGUCUGUGUGUGUGCAAGUGUGUGUAGGUGUGUGUUUGCAUGCAAGUGUGUGAGCUCUUCUGUGGGGAACAGGCAUACACGUCGAACUCAUAUAAUUUGACACUUUUUUUUUUUUUAAGAUUUGAAGCAAAAAAUCUGCACCAGGAUGUCAAGUGUGGCCAAAAAGUAAAUAUAGAAGAAUCCACAGAUUUCCCGCACGUGUCCAAAGAGAUCAAAUCCUCUCCCGGUUGUUGUGCAGGCCUACAUUAUUAUGUUUAAACACAUUUAAUAUGGAGCUUAGCUUAUGUGACCGAGAGGGAGGCUAUUUGCGUGCAAAAUGAUUAUACGUCCAAGUGGGAAAAAUGACUCCGUGUG